AGGACGAACGCUGGCGGCGUGCUUCACACAUGCAAGUCGAACGGGGCUCAUUCGGUGGUAACACCGGAGAAGGCCUAGUGGCGAACGGGUGCGUAACACGUGAAGAACCUGCCCCGAAGACUGGGAUAACAGCGGGAAACCGCUGCUAAUACCGGAUGACCCCACCAGGCCGCAUGGCCAGGUGAGGAAAUGGGCCUACCGCUUCGGGAGGGCUUCGCGGCCUAUCAGCUUGUUGGUGGGGUAACGGCCUACCAAGGCUACGACGGGUAGCUGGUCUGAGAGGACGACCAGCCACACUGGGACUGAGACACGGCCCAGACUCCUACGGGAGGCAGCAGUGGGGAAUCUUGCGCAAUGGGCGAAAGCCUGACGCAGCAACGCCGCGUGAGGGAUGAAGGUCUUCGGGUUGUAAACCUCUUUCGAGCAGGGACGAUUGUGACGGUACCUGCUAGAAGAAGCUCCGGCCAACUACGCGCCAGCAGCCGCGGU
rnacentral:rRNA from 1 species